rnacentral:lncRNA from 1 species
AAGAAGUUUAACAUCCACGCACAUAGGAUUCGUCUAGGCUUAAGUAACAAGCAAAACCAAAUUGUGGUCUACAGAGUAAAAGAAGCCAUCUCCAACUAGCAUAAAUAAAAUGUGCAACUGCAUAUGAGUUUAUCAUUUACAUAUCUUUCCAGUCCAUUUCUACAUAAUCUACAACAUCAAAGUUUUGGCCAUUAUUGGGUACUAACACAAUGUUGCCUGAUAUUUUACCUAAGCCUCUCAAAAUUGAAGACUAGCUUUGAAUUGAACACCUCUCAAGUAUAACAAAUCAUGUACAGAAAUUACAUACCACACAAUCUAUUUCUCAAAUUUAUAACCCAUUGGGAGAAAUAGUGAUUCUUAUAAGGUGGCCUCCCAAGCAAGGGCAAAAAUCCAUCAUCUUCUGUGAUACAUUGUUGUCCAGCUUUCUCAGUCAGUUAUCCCGGUAGAUUGGUUGUGGUGUCCACUUAAGAUGCAAAUUCAGCUUACCUGACUUUGUCCCAUCUAUUGGAAUCGAGUCUUUGUACUCUCCUUCCAAUAUAACUCUGGUAAGUGUCAAGAUGCAUCUCCCCAUAUGAUCCUGUAAAGAAAGUAGUUCAGUUCAAGCCCAAUAAACUUGACCUACAAACAGUCACCAAAGAAAGACAUGUACGUUUAGAGUUUCAGACCAUGAUGCCUUUUUCAUAAUCAUUACGAAAAUAACUACAGGAAUAAGGAUACAAUGAAUUUCUAAUGUAACCAUCGGCUCAUCAUGCACCAUGUUCACAGCGCCUGCUAGGAAAUGUCUAGCAUGGUGCUUAGCAUUUAUGUCCAGAUACAUUUUCUUCAUAAAUCUUAUUAUCCUCUUAAGACAAAUUAAUAAGAACACGACUUAAUCCAACUAUAUAUCUUUGAUAUCUUGAAGUUUUGUUUUAGUUGACUUUGUAUGUCUUAAUUUAUCAAAAAAUGUGCAAGACUUAUCAAACCAGGUUUAUGACAUAUUUAUAGAAAACAUGAGGUUUAUUAUUCCAUAUAAAUCAAAUGUAAAAAGAUGAUACAAGUGGCAGAUCACCAACUAUAUAUGUCAAGCUGACAUACUUGAGCGGGUCAUGGGUCAUAUAAAAACUUGUGCAAUGUUACAAAUAGGGUAAUCUAAUAUAUGACCGCGGCUUAUCAUGGUUGGGUGUUGGGUUUUAUGUGCAAAUUCAGACGGAGGGAAGUUUUUCACUCAGGAACGUACGUACGCAGUUAGGGCGCUCGUACGUUCAAUGUGACAGAUAACUGUUUCGGGAAGAAACGUACGUACGUGAUUUCGACGUACGAACGUUGUAUUACUUGUACAGGGGCGUACGUACGUACGUAGUUAGGGCGUACGAACGUCCCGUACGCCAGAUAACUUCUCUGUGUUGUAACGUACGUACGUGAUUUCGACGUAGGGAUUGUGAGAAGCCAUUAAAGAGUUUGAGAGAACUUUUGUGAGGAAGAAGACUUCGGUUUCUUCGUGAGGGCUUGUACAAUUGUCUUGUGAAAGAAAAGCAUCAUCCUUUCUCCCCGUGGACGUAGGCAUAUUGCCGAACCACGUAUAUCUUGUGUCUUGUGUGUGAUUGCUUGUUUACUUUUGUCGUUUUCGUUUUACUUUCAUAUAUUAGUUCAAUCAUAUUUGUGCAUUAGUUUCCGCUGCGCACAACAAGUGGUAUCAGAGCUUAGGUUAGAUCUUGAGCGUCUUGAAGGUGUUUGAAGAAAUUCCGCAGUGAGUUUCUUAAUUGUGUUUCAAGUCCAAGAUUCUACCUUUUGUUCGUGGGUUGCAUAGAAGGUGUUGGUUGAAAUUCCGGUGUGAAUUUCAGAUUUGUUUACCUUCGGGUGGUGAUUGUUUAGUGCAUAAAAGUUGGUGGUAAGAUGACAAAAGAAUUGAAUUUGAAGGAUUCGAAGGGGAAAACCAAGACAGUGGUUUACCAUCAAGCAAAGAUUGAUGUAGAGAAGUUUACCGGCACCAAUAACUUUGGCAUGUGGAGGUGUGAGGUAAUGGAUGCUCUAUGUCAACAAGACCUAGAAGAUGUUCUGGAGGAUAAGCCAGAAGAUGUGGAAGAGAAGGAUUGGAAAAAGAUGAACAAACGAGCUUGUGGAAUCAUAAGGUCGUGUUUGGCACAAGACAUUAAAUAUCUUGUGAUGAAUGAUGCAUCUGCAAAGGAGAUGUGGCGAAAAUUGGAGGAGAAGUACAUGACAAAGACUAUCCACAAUAAAAACUAUCUACUUCGAAAGUUCUAUCGAAUAGAUAUGAGAAGAGGUAUUUCCAUGGCGGAGCAUCUUAAUGAUUUUACCAAGAUAAUUGCCGACUUGGUGAAUCUUGGAGCAGAUGUAAGUGAUGAAAGCAAGGCAGUGUGUCUCCUCAAUUCGUUACCGGACGAAUAUGAACACUUGACUAUCACACUUACAUAUGGAAAAGACAAGCUGGUGUAUAGUGAGAUUUCUGCAGCAUUGUUAAAUCAUGUGUGUAUGAAGAAGGACAAGAAGAGUCCAAAAGCUCAACACAGAGGUCUUAGUGGCAAGGGGAAGCUACAUAGUAGGGGUGAGUCUCGUAGGGAGCCGAAGAGGGGGUUUCUAGCAAAAGAUGAAUGUUCCUUUUGUCAUGAGAAAGGGCAUUGGAAGAAAGAUUGUCUUCAAGCCAAGGCAAAAAACAAGAAGAAUAACUCUGAGGUAAAUAUUGCACGUAAUAAUAGAGAUGAAGAUGAUGGUUCUGAUUACUCUUUAUUUGUUUCAUCCAUCGAUUGUUCCACUAAUGCUAAAGAGUGGAUAUUAGAUUCGGCUGGUACUUAUCAUGUGUGUCCCAUAAGGGAAUGGUUUUCUAGCUUUAAAAGGCUAGAUAAUGAUGCAGUAGUGAUGAGGAAUGAUCAACCUUGUCAUGUAUUGGGGAUAGGUACUAUUCGAUUGAAGAUGUUUGAAGGAAAGAUAAGAGAGUUGAGGAAUGUAAGAUAUGUUCCUGAUUUGAAGAAGAACCUUAUUUCACUUGGUACUUUAGAAGCCAAAGGUUACAAGGUAGUAGCUCAGAAUGGUGUUCUAAAGGUUAUGGUUGGUGCAAUGGUAUUACUAAAGGGUACUCGACGAAGUAACCUGUACUUCUUGCAGGGUAGUACAGUUACAUGUGAUGUGGCCAUGUCAGAGGCUACAACGAAGUUUGCUAGAGAGACUACCAAAUUGUGGCAUAUGCGGUUGACGCAUAAAUGUGAAAAAUCUUUGCAGACAAUGACGGAGCAAAGGUUUUUUAUGGGUGCUAUCGCCUGCAAGUUAGAGUUCGGUGAGCAUUGUGAUCUGGGCAAGCAGACAAGAGCAAAGUUUGGCACAACUAUCCAUUGUAUGAGUGGAGUUCUUGAUUAUGUUCACAUGAAUGUCUGGAGACCUACCAAGUACACAGCUUGGAGAGGUAAGUCUUAUUUUGUGUCUUUAGUUGAUGAGUUUUCUAGGCGUGCGUGGAUGUACAUCAUGAAGCAUAAGGAUGAAGUCCUAGAAAUAUUGAAGUGGAAGAAGCUAGUUGAGGCCCGAAUUGACAGAAUGAUCAUGGUAUUGUGCUUAGAUAAUAGCAUAGAGUACAAAGAUGAUCCGGUCUUGCAAGUAUGUCAGACUGAGGGUAUUGAGCGUCACUUCACUGUGAGAAAGACACUGCAACAGAAUAUGGUGGCAGAACAUAUGUUGUCUAUGGCUGGAUUAGGCAAAGUGUUUCGGGUUGAGACAUGUCAUCUUAUUAACAGGUUGCAUUUGAUUGUGACUAGUGGUAAAACUCUUAUGGAGGUUUCUAUGUUGGAGCCUGAGAGUUCUCAGCAGGUGGAGAACAAGACCAAAGAGGUUUUGCAGUGGGUGGAAAUUUGCAUAUCUCCAUAUGUUCCAGUGGGUUCUGUAUCUAAUGUGGAAACUCUUGUAAGGAUUUUGGGUGUUUCAAAUUCUGAUGACAUGACAGAUGAUGAGACGAUUGGAGAUGCAGAAAAUGGUGAUCCUAUUGAUGAGGGUCCAAUUGCAACUAGAUUACCUAAGAAGGAAGAAGAAUCUCCAGGUAAAAAUGUGCACUUGAAGGUAAACGUUUGCAUCCUUAUGGCCUUGGUAGUGCGAUCUGAUUGUGUAUUAGCUCUGUUUGAUGUGAAAACGGUUGUUUUACAUGGUGAGCUAGAUGAGGAGAUAUAUAUGUCUCAGCCUAGUGGUUUUGGAGUUGCAAAGUAUGAUGAGUUGGUGUGUUUCAAACCAUAUAUUUCACGAGCAGUGGGCAUUGUAGGUAGAUACAUGCAUGAUCCUGAUGUGAAACAUUGGGAAGCUGUGAAAUGGAUGUUCCACUACAUUCAAGGUAGUGUGGAGGUUGGUUUGUUAGUUCAACAUGGAAGGACUUUGAGUCUGCGGUGUGGUGGUUAUGUGGAUGUUGAGUAUGAUUGUCACUUUGAUAGACGUUGGUCUACUCUUGGAUAUGUGUUUACAUUGGCAGUGAGAUCUAUCAGCAGAUUGUCCACAUUACAUUCUAUGGUUGCUUUGUCUCCGACAGAAGCUUGGAAUAUUACCGUGACUAAAGUGGUGUAUGGGACUAAGUUCUAUUGGUUAGAAUUGGUCCAUAUCAUUCCUUCGAGUUGAUAGUAUAUCUUGGAGUGAACUACGAUGGCUUGAUCCCUUAGAAGAAGGGUACGUAGGCAACCAUGAGGUGGUACAGCCGAGGUGGUCUUUCGGGACAUGUGUGGGAGUUUGUGACUUGUGAUUCUUGGUGUCGGCUUAGAUUUAUUGAAUCUUCGCCGAGGUGGAGAAUUGUUGGGUUUUAUGUGCAAAUUCAGACGGAGGGAAGUUUUUCACUCAGGAACGUACGUACGCAGUUAGGGCGCUCGUACGUUCAAUGUGACAGAUAACUGUUUCUGGAAGAAACGUACGUACGUGAUUUCGACGUACGAACGUUGUAUUACUUGUACAGGGGCGUACGUACGUAGUUAGGGCGUACGAACGUCCCGUACGCCAGAUAACUUCUCCGUGUUGUAACGUACGUACGUGAUUUUGACGUACGUACGUCCUCCUAUGCUUUUGUGCAAUAUGGGCCUGUUUAAGCCCAAUUCGUGGUCUAUUGUAAGGCUAUGGUAUAAAGCCAAAUAGAAGUGGAAAAAUCUAAUUAUGUUUUCUAAGAGAGAGAUUGUGAGAAGCCAUUAGAGAGUUUGAGAGAACUUUUGUGAGGAAGAAGACUUCGGUUUCUUCGUGAGGGCUUGUACAAUUGUCUUGUGAAAGAAAAGCAUCAUCCUUUCUCCCCAUGGACGUAGGCAUAUUGCUGAACCACGUAUAUCUUGUGUCUUGUGUGUGAUUAGAAAUACGUUGACACAAAAUGGGAUCACCUACAAUAACUUUGCUGGUUUUUGUUCUGUCUCGUAAUGGUCGCACAUACAAUACAGCAAAAGGAUCAGAUUUCCCAAUGAUGUCCUUAUUUGUCAAUUCCUUGGCUUGCACAAGCUUCACUUCUAAUAUUCCAACAGGCUUAAGCUCGAGGUCACUAUAGAAGAAGAAAAUUACAGAUGCUGGAAUCAACACAAAUUAUGCAAGAAUAGGAUAUGCAUUGGGCAGACAUGUUUAGGACUAUAUAUACAUAUAUACAUGUGUGUGUGAGCGGACCCUUUGAAGUGGAAUACCUAUCAUGUAGAUAUCUGGUCAUUCUGAUCAUAUGUUCCCUAAACUAUUGUUGUGAUAUCGGUGAAGAUAUAUGAAGGGAUUAGAUUAGCCUCUUAAUCAAGCAAUAAUUAAAACCAGCAAACCUGUAAUCCCCAGGUAAUAUGGGAACAACUUUUCGCACUGGCCAUGUUAUUGAAUCUUCAAUGGCAUCUCGUAUUGUUCCCUACAUAAGAAGAAUAUCGAUACAUCAGCAAUUUUCCAAGUAAAAAUGUAAAAUUGGUCAAACAGAGGCCUUGUAACUACUUUUAUAUAUACCUUCUUUAUUUUGUGAAAAAGAUCAGAUAUCCACUAACUAUUGUAUAUAUAUAAUAGUGCAUGUUUAUAACGUAGGUAUCAUGACAGUAGAUUUAUGGCAAAAUUGAGGGGAAAGAUCAGAUAUCCUCUAACUACUGUAUAGAAUAGUGCUUGUUGAUAACGUAGGUAUCAUGACAGUAGAUUUGUGGCAAAGUUGAGGGGAGGAGUUUGUGAGCGCCCCCCCCCCCCUCCAAACCUGGUACCUUGGUAUGCCACAGCCAAGAGGAAGAUUCAUGAAUAUAUAAAUCUCCUGUUGGAACAUACUAACACUGUAGCAUAUUUUGUCUUUAAUGAAAAGUUUGCUUACUAAUCAAAAGAAAAGAGAACACCAACUAAUAUGACAAAAACCUCGAUAGCAUCAUAAAUUCCCGGAAUUGGAGAUAUAUCACCACCAACAACUUUGAGUGUAAAAUCCAACUUUUUCUGCCAUGAUAACAAAAUAUUGUCAGUUUACACAACUCCCGAAAAAGGUCUUCACAACUUGUAAUUCUCUUGAGAAUGCAGCUCUGAGUAAAAGAAUUUCAGUAAGAAAUACCCAACCUUUUCUCUUAAAGAAUAAGAAACAGCGCCGAAACAAGGGAACUCUUCAACUAGUGGCUUAAAGAUUAACCUAAAGACCCCAGUGAAACCAAUAUUUUUCACCUAAAUACAGAAAGUCAUUACCAAAGAUCGAGUUAGAUAUCACUUCAUUAUACUUAAUACAUGAUAUACAUACACCCCACCCCAAAAGAAAAUAACACAGACUUAUAAAAAAAAAAAAAAAACUGCUCUUGAUGGUUGAUACAGAAGAGAAAGAAAUUAAAUCUUAUGAUAAUUAGCAAGAGAAUCAAUCUGAUCGAGCAUAUUAAUCUACAUGUAUUUAUGUACAUGGUCUGUCAGCACCAGGGGUUUUUGGUGUUAACGGAUGUGUGUCGACAUGUAUAUAUCAGUGUGUGGAUGUGUGUGAUCAAUGUUUUAUGUGUCAUCUUAAGUAGAUGAUAUACAAUUUAUAAGGUUUAAAAGUCUAAGCAUGAAGAGUAAUGAAUCUGGAGCGGUGAGCAUGGUCAUCGGAACACACACUUUCUUUGUCAGCAGAAAGUGGAUAUAACUGUAAAUUAGUACCGAGUACUCAGAGUCAGCCAUAUCAUGACAAGAGAGCAUUUAAGCAACUUUUUCAACUAGCCAGAAUCCAACUGGAAUUUUGUACUUGCGUCUAGCAUGCAAGUUUUCGUUUCAUGUUUAUUUUCCCUAAUUUAUACAAAUGGUCAAGAAUAGUAAACUUGAACAAUUUUCUAACAUAGCUAUUUUCAGAGAAGAGAGCAGAUAAUAGAACAUAAGAAGCUUCAAAAGUAAAAUACAAUCCUUUGUUUGAAUAUCACCUGAACAGGUAGUCCAACACCUAAUCUAGUCUUAAUAUCAAGAACGAUGCUUGGAUUACCAUCCCACUGCAACUCCAACUCCAUGGUGAUGCCCCCACCACCAUCUUCAAUCAUAGAUACUCCUAAAGAACAUGAUCUAUAUGAGAUUAAACCAAUAAAAAUCGAGUAAACACACCCACAGAUAGGCUAACAAAAUAUAUUAUUUCUAGUAUCAUUGUUUUUCAGAUUUAAGUAAGCCUCUACUUAUUGAGAGGAUUACAAUAACUAAAAGGUCAAGCAAAAAUGUAAGUCCAUAAAUACAAUGACGACAGUCUGUCAGUCUGUGUUGUAUGUUACGUAAACCACUCCUUGAAUUUGAGAGGUUCUGAAAUUCUCCACAGUUCAAAUACCCUGGGUGCUACACCGGUUAAAAAACAAGUAGCUACUUAGAAAUUGAGCUGGACUAGAACCUAUGACUGAAAACCAAAUUGUCCCCCACCAAUUUGGAAUUUCUUCAAACGUCUUUUUACACGAGUUAAAUGAUCCUAAGACAUUUUCAAAGCCUCAAAUAAUGAACAAACAACAACAUAAUCAUAAAAUGGCGUGACUCCUAAUUUUGGUCUGAAAUAUCUAAAUGAUCAAGGACUUGUGAUCCAGUCAAUACCAAGAUCUAUGAAUAGUAACAAAUUCUUUAGGCUUUUAAAUCUUUUUCAUCCGACAUUUUGGAGUACAAGAAUGAUAGAGUGACCAUGAAAUGAAAGCCUUAGGGCACAUUGUCGGUGGAUACGGUCUCCACCUCCAUAGAGCUUGCAUGUGACACAAAUUUUCUAACUUUGUCAAACUAGAGUCACAAAGUAGAACAUUUUGACGAUGAGAAAAAUCCAAAAUCAGAUAGUAACUUUUGACUAGGCUAGAAAUGGUGAGGAGAUCACGAGCACCAAACAGUCAGCACUUAUCUCUUCUUCGUGUGGGUACACGAACGUUUGUCAUUUAGUGUGUCGCAUUUUGAGGUGUUAUAAUACGUCAUUCAUAUAUAUAUGUUUAGGCAUAUCUGUGUUUCUAUUUCCUUCAUAGUAUAAGCAACUGUUUAAACAAAAAAAAAACAAAUAGAUUUAAUCGUUGAAACAGUCAAAAUCACCCUAAAUCAAUGAAAGUGUAUAAAUUAUCAAAUGAAGAUUACAAUAAAAUAAUCUACUUGGCAAUAGUCUAAUUGACUGUGGAAAGCCUAAUUAGUGAGCCAUGGCCAUGAGCAACAUAUAUAUCUAGUAAAAAAAUUCUCAAAAAUUCACUGGGGCACAUGCCCCAGUAUGUGCCAACAUAGCUCUGUCCUUGCCUCUGCUAGCUUCGACUAACAAUUUUUAGAACAAUGACUAAAAUAUGAUCAAACUUCACCCACAUUUCAAUUUGAAGAAACAAAAAGCUAGCCAUAUCUAUACUACUAUUAUAACCUGAAUAAAAUUUAAGGGUAAGUCUCGGUUAAUGAGAAUUGAGCUUUAGAAUUUUGUCACCUAAUUUUGACUAAAAUACCUUUUUAGUCAUGUUUUUUUAGUAAAUUUAUAUAAUACCCUUUAAAUAAUAAUUUUAUCAUAAUUUAACAUAUUUUUAUUUAUGGACUGAAUUUUUAUUUAUAAACAAAAAAUUCAAUAAUUAAAAAAAAUAAUUUAAGAAAAUAUAAUGAACUCUUAUAAAAUAUUAAGAAAAACUACCCAAAUUUAUUUAAAAAAUAAUUGUUUCAUAAAAUUUAAUAAUAAAAUUAAUAACUUAAAAUUUUAAAUAAUAAUAAAAAAUAAAUAAAUUAAAAUUAAAAUUAACAGGCUAAGACACUAGUUACAUGUGGAUAGGUUGAUCAAUUUGGGCAACUUUAGUGAGGUGUGCAUACUUGGUCACUUACUUAAACAUUAUUUAUGGGGUUUAAAAGUAACACAAACAAUAUCCAAAACAUAGCCCAAAAUAUUCUUUGUCGUCACCAUAGUACAAAAUCCUCCACUCUCUCUUUCCUCUCUCUCUCUCUCUUUCUUUCUUGGAAGAUUCACUAGCAGCUUCCACCUCGUCACAAAUACUAGUGGGCUCUAGUACGGAAAAAGCAUUGGCAUCUAUAUGACGUGUCAUUUAUUCAUUUGCUGAAUGACAUUUUUCUAUUUUCAUUUCCCUUAUUACCCUUAUCAUCUUUAUUACUAAACCUAUAAUUUUGACUAAUAUUUCUCGUAUAUUAUAUGUGGCAAACUCGUAAUAUUUGUGAAAACAAAGGUUGAACAAUUUUACGCGGUAUAUACUAGUGAAUGAAAGCUUUGACGCGCUUUUAAGUCUUAAAAGAAGGAUUUUUGCUUUUUACAGUAAAGCACUAAACACAACACAACACAACACAACACAACUACUCUGCAGCUUCUGAAGAUCUUUUGAAGAAAGAUUAAAUUUUUAUGAGUUGGGUUUCUUAAUGUUGAAGAGAAAGACGAAAUAGAAGAAAAAAAAAAAAAAAAAUCCAAUUUUCUUUCAUUUUUUUUGAAGUUUUAAAGCAAGUUUUUUUUUUUUAUUGUUGAGGUGUUUUGAAGAAGAAAGAUGGCUGUUUUGCCUUUGAAUUAUUUGCCAGUUGGGUAUAGAUUUAGUCCUACAGAUGAAGAAUUAGUGAAUUAUUACUUGAAAUUGAAGAUCCAAGGUCAAAAUUCUAAAGUUGAAGCUAUACCUGAAGUUGAUGUUUGCAAAUGGGAACCUUGGGAUUUACCAAGUAAGAAUUUUUCUCUCUUUUGUUGAAAUUGGGAAAAUGGGUAUUGAGAUUUGGGUUAAUUUGAUGUAUGGGUUUUGGAUUUUGAGCUUAAUUUGGUAAAAAACUGUUCAUUUUUCUAAUUGAAGUUGUCUUAAUAUGGAUAAUUAUUGGUUUUUUAGCUAAAAUUGGGUGUUAUUUUGGAAAUUUUUUAUGGGUUUUGACUUUUGACCUUGAUCUCCAAUUAGCUUGAACUGAUCACUAUGUUUUCUUUUAUAGCUUUAUUUGUCAUGUAAUUGUUGUAAUUUGUUGAUUUAGGGUUCUUAUUUAGAUAUUGUUAUUGUUCAUUUGGAGAAAAUUUGGUUUGAUCUUGAUCCUUUGCUUCACUAGGUUCUAAUUUAGUUUUGGAGCUUAUGAACUUCACUGCCCAGUUAGAAAACUGUUUCCCUAAAUUCUUUUCCCUCAUUCUCAAUUUUCCUGACUUUGAACACUUUUGGAUUGCUUGCAGGUUUAUCAGUGAUUAAAAAUGAAGAUCCAGAGUGGUUCUUCUUUUGCCCUCGUGAUCAGAAAUAUCCAAAGGGGCGUCGUUCUAACAGGGCGACGGACAAAGGUUAUUGGAAAGCAACUGGGAAAGAUCGAACCAUCAAAGCACGCACUUCCGGAAUGAAGAAGAUUGGUAUGAAGAAGACCCUAGUUUUCCACCGUGGGCGUGCUCCUGAAGGUCAGAGGACUGGAUGGAUAAUGCAUGAAUAUCGCAUGGAGUCUGAGGAGGUAUUAAUUGUAAUUGCCUCUUAAUGGCUUUUUAUUACUUCCUUCUACUAACAGUUGGGGGGUAACACCAUACUUCCUCGGCUGGUUAAAAAAUAAUAAGUAAAGAUCCUUUCAAGGAUACAUGCAUGUUAAUCUGCUUGAUACACAUCUUUAGUAGGAAUGUACCUGGGGUCGUAGAAAUGUUGUUUUGUUCAUGUGGAUGGGCGAAAAUUUCCCUUGGCCAUUGUAGAAUCUUGUGCAGAUGGAGAAUGAUGUUUUCUAUAGUAUUUGGGCUUGAUGGGUUUAAAGUGGGGGUGCAUUUUAGUAGUGUAAUGCUGUUCUGAGAUUAUGAUAAACAAAAGUAAUUGCUAUAUGGCAACAAUUGACUACGUUUUGAGGGGGGCAAAGUGAUGGAAAUCGAGAAACAACAUUUUCAAACACCUGGUGAAGAUGGAUGCUGAGUUAUUAUAAGAUUAGGAAAUAUAGAAUUAGGGAAAUAGCUCAGUCUGCGUCCCAGCUUUGUGACCUGUAUCUACCUAUGAAACUAGGUGCUUUAACAAAUGUGUCAUUCUUUAAAUGUUUGGAAAGAUUGAACGAAAUUAGUAGGUGUAAUUUGCGAUGUUAUAUUUCACUUUUCAUGCUGGUUCGCAAAAGCGUUAUUCGUUAUUUACAUACAAAUAUACAAUGAUACAUAGCUGGUUUCACCAUUACACUCUUACUGCUGAGGCCGUGUCCGUUCAGGUUGAUGUUUAUCCUUUAGCCUUAGCCUUAUUGGUAUUUGCAAUGUUAUCUUAUAUUGCCUUGUAACUGUACCUUAGUCUGAGAUUUCAGUCUUUUCAGAUAUUUUGAUUUUUUUUGAGUAGCAAUCACAGAACCUCAUUAUUACCGUAAAAAAUAUAGAUGAUUUAUGUGAUUUUUGAGAAUAUUUUAUACACUUCAUUUAUCAUUACUCUAUUCUCUUUAGUUAGUUAGUUACUCUAUUUAGUUAAAGUUAUCUUCACUCCUUGAAUCUAAGUGUCCUUCCUUCAUCUUGGACAGGGUCCAUUUGUUCUUUGUCGGUUAUUCAAUAAAGAAAAGGCAGAAUCCAAUUGUGAUGAAGUGGAGCCAACUGGCUUUUCUCCCACUGCCGCCAAUUCUUCUCCCGAAAGUAUGCAACAGGGAAAGGCACCAUUGCCAGCAAAUUCUGAGUCAGAUGUGCAAGUUGGGGAGAAUCCUACAGAUACUAAAAGAUGGCUGGAAGAUAAGUCUGACAACAUAACUCCCAAUAAUUCUUUUCCUGAACGGAGCUAUUCCAAUAGUUGUCAGGCUUCUAAUGUGGACGAUCAUGGAGCAGAACUAGCUAUAGAGGUGAGAAAAGAUUUUGUGUAUUUGGUCUAGUGUCUCGUACCAUUCAUCUAAUUCUAGAAUACUGAGAACUAAAUAUUGUAUUUUCUUGCCUUCUCAGGAGGAUGCACAACAGGGAGAUUAUAUGGGUAUUUUAGAUGAUCCCAGCUUUGAAUCACUGGAUCAAACUCUGUCUCCAUUGGAUAAUAAGACAUCUACUGGGCUCCAACCUUAUUACACAGGUUCUGCCUUUACCCGUGAGUUUGGUAAUACUCUCAAUGAGAUGGUGGCUGAGGAUGGCAGCAAACUGCCAGACAUAUUUGAUCUUGAUCUAGAUCUAGAUCUCUUGGAGAAGUAUUUAGAUAACUCUAAGAACAUUUAUGCGCUACAACCUGGAGAAUCUGUGGUCAGUGGUUCAGCCAGUGAUACAGACAAUGUAGUGUUACAGGCACAGGUAAACUAAGAUUCCUACUACAUUUUGGAACUAUGUAAAGUGUUUUAAGGUCAAUACAGCUCUGAAUUUUAACAUUCUUUCUAUUAAAGAUAACCAAUUGAAUAGUGUUUAGAUGACCAAGCCCAUACGCUGUGGUUGUCUGAUCUAAGGUAUUAUCUUCGGUGAUCUAGUAUGGUCAAAUACGCUUCCUUGUACUUAUUCAUAUGUUUCAUACUACUUCAGGCGUAUCAAGGGGAAGGUUUGCCAUGGUUCAGUGGACCCGUUGAUGCAAAUGAUUCUUUAGGGAUGCAGAAAAAAAUAGAAUUCAAUGGAAAUGAAGGAUUCUAUGGGGAUGAUUUCUUUAAUGAAAAUAUGGGUUUAUUUAUCGAUGACCCACCUGGUCUAUCGGUUGAAUCUCCUAAACACUACCGCAUUGGAUCUCAGACUCGAGUAACUACUGUUGAUGACACCAAAAACAGUUUGGCAAUUGGAGUCUGUCAGGGCAGUGCUGCACGAGGAGGUCGUUUACAAAAGAAACUCAUCCGCAGAGUAGCUUCCUUCAAGGGAAAGGAAUCAAGCUGCCCAACAAAAGACCUGGAGGUCAAGCCAACAGUUUCAAAGGUGAGAAUAUAAACUCUUUGAAUUCGUAUGAAAUUCUACUUACUGCAUGUGAACUAAAAAGAAUGUUGUUUUGCAGACCACUAAAAUUGGAACCAUCACAUUGGCCUCUGUCCUAGCUUCUGAAGUUGGCGAUGAAAUCUCCGACGAACUCAGAACAAAGCUGAGGUUGAGAACAAGAUCAAGAUGUGAUGUAAUUGACAGUGAUCAACAAGACUCCACCCUAAACGUGAAGGAGGCGCCUUCUCUGAGUCCCUUUAGUUACUUGCGUCUUCAUAUGGUCUCUGUGGCAGUAAUAGUCAUCUUUGCUGUGUUCUUAAACUGGGGCAGGAUUUUUGGUUAGCAGUUAUAGAGCAUGUACACAUAUAUGUAUGUAGAUUUUUACUGAUGAGAACUGAGUGCUUUGACCUAUGGUAUAUAUAUAUAUAUACAUAAAUAGUUAAGUUAGGAGUAAAGACAGGUUGUGAUCUACUCAUAUAGUAACUUGUUUACUAAACUUCUUUGUGACCUUGUAACAGAAAUUUUUUUUUUUUCUUUUACUUGGGUUUUAUUUAUGUAAUUUAAGUUUUGAGUUGUUUUAUUACAUUUUGCAAGCUGACACAAGUGCUGAGAGGAGGGGAAAGUUGUGUAGGACUGUAGUUAAUAUAUUAUUUUAUAGGCAACCAUAUUUAUCAAUUAUCUGUUUCCCUGUCAAUAGACUAAUUUUGGGUGUAGGCAUGUUGGUGCAAGUCUUGACAGUAAUGCAUUACCAUAAGUUCACUGAAGCAGAGCUGUAAGAGUGUAACAGUGGCUUAUCUAGGUCUGUGGAAGAACUUUGAAGUGGGCACGAGUGCUUAGUGGUAUUAUUGUCAAUUCUGCUUAAAGAUGUUAGCAGAUUGGUUAGGAAAUCUGUAGACUGUAGUUUGCUUCUUAACAUAUCAAGGUGGGAGUGGUCUUCUGGCCUUUGCUGUUAUUUUUAAGAGUGACAGUCAAUACUUCAAGAUCUUGAGCCUUCCGUAGACGUAGACAUGCAAAGUCCAAAUCAUGCUAAUAUCUUAUACUGUAUGUUUCAGCAAUUUUGAUAUAUUUUUUGAGAAUUUAAAUUAUUAUCUUCAUGCAUUUUAAUAAUAUAAUAAUGCAUUAUAGUGAAGACUGAAGAGAGCAUAACUGUAUCAUGACUUACAGUCUUACACAUUGUUAGUGUUGUGAUUUCACAAUGAAUGGUCAUCAUACGUGCAUGGGUAAGAAGAACCUGGCUAUAUAUGAACAAAAACCAGAAAACAUUUUCAUUGCAAGUAGAACAUCAUAAAUCUAUUAUCUCAUUAUACUUCCAAUCCUCUUUGAGUUUUCAGUUUUGAAUUAUACUUGUUUUUUUUUGUUUUUGUUGAUCAUCACAAGUAUUGAUAUAAAAGCAUGAAAACAACACAAGUAUUGAUAGCACCGGUUUUAAACAAACUGUAAAAAAACACAAGUAAAUUAUAGGUUUUAGGAGACCCAUUAGAGAUGCUCUUAGGUUUUUAAUUUCUGAAGAACAACUAAUUUUUUCUCAAAGAAUAACCAAUGAAGUAAAAUCAUCCAGAGGUUAUUAUAAAUUUACUAUUGCCAUAACUUUAAAACAACAACUUAUAAUUGAAUUUACAAAAGAAUAUUAGAAAUGUGAACUAUUUUCUUAGACAAGUCCGUUCCAGUAAUAGAGAAGUUCACUGUAAAACAUUCGCAACAGUGAACUGUGUGAUGAACAAAGAGGUUCAGUACAUAUAAGACUCCUAUAGCAGCUACAGGAGUACAAGCAUAUGAGUGCAUAUAAUUUUGUUCACUGUGUUUCCCCUGACCCAAAACCACAAAAAAGAUUUAAUGUCCUUUAAGGUUGUACUUAAACGUUAAACACAGGAUCAAUAUUCCUGAGUACCAUGUUGUUGCGGACUAGCCAUAGGGUCUAUAUGGUAGCAUAUGACAAGAUUUGCCAGAGUUUAGCCCCCAUACCAGUUGUGUUGUGACGCGGCCAAGCCUUCAGGAGAUCUUCUAUAGUCCGGGAAAGCAUCAGCAGAUCAGAGAUAUCAAUAGCAAGAUCUGCAAGCUCAAUCCAGACAGCUUGGGAUGUUGUACAAUGCAGAAAUAGAUGAUUGUCAGAUUCAGGAUGCUGUUUACACACUACAGAGCACACAAAGAUUUGCAGAUUGUCACUCUCCUAAUUAGUUGGUCAAGAGUCUGAAUACGUCGUUGCAGAAUGCACCGGAAGAAUAAUUUAAUCUUGGAUGGUAAAAAUAAUAAUAAUAAUAAUAAUAAAAGUAAUAAUUUUGGAUGGUAUAGGUACAGACCAAACCAAAUUGAAAGAGAAAGGAGGCAAAGUGGCAAACCCAGCAAGUCUCAAAUGAAUUGGUUUUUCACGACGCUCAAAUGGAAUGGUUGGAAUCACCUCUUAAAAUCAAAUGUAACCGCCAAAUGGUUAUAUAAGAAGUUUAACAUCCACGCACGUAGGAUUCCUCUAGGCUUAAGUAACAAGCAAAACCAAAUUGUGGUCUACAGAGUAAAAGAAGCCAUCUCCAACUAGCAUAAAUAAAAUGUGCAACUGCAUAUGAGUUUAUCAUUUACAUAUCUUUCCAGUCCAUUUCUACAUAAUCUACAACAUCAAAGUUUUGGCCAUUAUUGGGUACUAACACAAUGUU